GAUGAACGCUGGCGGCGUGCCUAAUACAUGCAAGUCGAGCGAAUCGGGGACAGGUGAGUAACACGUGGAUAACCUUCUAUAUGACUGGGAUAAAUUCGGGAAACCGGCGUUAAACCGGAUACGUAUGGUUGGACCCGCGCUGCAUUAGCUAGUUGGUAAGGUAACGGCUUACCAAGGCAACGAUGCAUAGCCGACCUGAGAGUGUGAUCGGCCACACGGGAACUGAGACCCGGUCCAGACUCCUACGGGAGGCAGCAGUAGGGAAUCUUCCGCAAUGGGCGAAAGCCUGACGGAGCAACGCCGCGUGAGUGAUGAAGGUCUUCGGAUCGUAAAACUCUGUUAUUAGGGAAGCGGUACCUAAUCAGAAAGCCACGGCUAACUACGUGCCAGCCGCCGCGGUAAUUC
rnacentral:rRNA from 1 species